AUCGCUUCUCGGCCUUUUGGCUAAGAUCAAGUGUAGUAUCUGUUCUUAUCAGUUUAAUAUCUAUAAAAAAAAACAAAACAAAACAUUA
rnacentral:snRNA from 1 species